rnacentral:lncRNA from 1 species
CCUACUUUGACCAGCCACCAAAAUCGAUUCGUUUAUUGUUAAAGAGAUUUGAAGGCAUAAACAUGGAGUUCAAAUACCAAACUACAACUUAGAUACAACAACAGAACCAAAACAUAAACACACUGAUAGAUCUAGUCGAUUUAAAACGUUGUCAGGCCGGUUCUGGGCAGUUUCUGGGUUACCCAGAAAUGCCCAGUCAUGGCCGGUCAACGACUUUUG